UGUGGUUGGAAAUUGUCCCCACCCUCAGUACAUCCGGAACUUCUUUCCAUGUUUCGUGAGUCCAUGUUACUGGUGUCACUGCAGUGGUGUUAGAGCGUUAUGACUGAGGCCGAGCUGAAAAAAAUUGUGUGCACAGACUACAUUUUCUUUAUCCACGCAUCUGCUAAGGGGCAUUGUUGGUUCCAGCUCUUAGUUAUUAUGAACAGUGUGACAUCAGCUUGGACAGGGUUUCUCUGUGUAAUUUUGGCUGUCCUGGAACUUGUUCUAAACCAGCGUGGCUUGGGACUCACAGGGAUCUACCUGCCUUUGCCUCUGGAGUUCUGGGAUUAAAGGCGUGCGCCACCACUGCCCGACGCCGUCACGGUUUUUGCUUUAAGAUCCUGUUUGAGUUCCUGCCCUAACUUCCCUGCAUGAUGAACUGAGACCCCAAAGUGUAAGCUAAAUAUAUCCUUCCUCCCUCCACUUUCUUUGGGUCAGAGUGUUCUAUCACAACAAGAGAACCAAACUAGAAAGGACCCCUUAAGUGGUCAGAGGAAAUGAUGGCACCCCACAUCUGCUGCAGCUUAGAAGAGGACACGGGUCCCCGCUUCAAUAGUUACUUGACUGCAUCUUGAACUGCAUCACAUCCUAUGGCAUGCACGUGUCCUAGCCCCUUUCCUUUGCCUGAAGGGCUCAUGGGUUGCAUCAUAUGGAUGAAGAUCAUUGUUUGGGGUUUAGAGAGAAGUAACCGACUUAGCAUUGUGCUCCAGGAACUUCAGUACAGUCAAGAACACAGCUUAUACCUAAGAGGCAGGGCUAACCACAAUAUACUCAAGACAAACUAAACUAAACUAAACUAAAAACCAGCUUUCUAGAGUUGUCAAAGACCUAAUGAUUUAGGAGAGCUGUAUUUCCGGGGUGUGUGAGAAGUUGUUUCUUCAAACGCACGGCAGCAUUCACGAGAACUUGUCCUGGUAGUCAGCUCCAAUACAGUAGCUCCCUAAGGACCUAGCGAAAUCUGUGCAGAGGACAAUUUGUUUCUGGCGUCAGAAUCAUUUUUGCUUUAUUGUGCCUGUAUUUUAUGGCUCUUCUGCCUCUUCCUUUGUAAUUGGUUUAUCACCGUACCUUUUAAUUUGCUGAUAAUUAUCUGCAAUGGGGUGGAGACCAAACAAACCCUUUUUAUGAGGCUGCCAUGGCAACAGGCCAACAAAUUAACCCUGAGUAAGUCUAGGAGUCUUCUCUUCUGGAAAAUGUUCAAAAUGGUGAACAAACUGUUCAUAGCUCCCCUCCUUAUUUUCUGGUCCUUGAUUCUAGUAAAUUGCUUGCUUUGCGUGCAUGAGGACACGGGAUGGAUCCCUGAGAACUCAUGUAAGGAAAAGCAUGGUAUAGCAACAUGCUUUUGUUGGGAGACAGAGGCUGGUGAGUCUCUGGGGCUCAUUGGCCAGCCAGCCUCACCGACUUGGUGAGUUCCAGGCCAGUGUGCCAGAAACCUCACAGACUGAUGGUAUUGAAGGGUGGGGCCUUUAGGGAGCUAGGAUUAGCUAGGACACUGGGAUUAGGAUUUCAUGGUGGCAUUGGGGGCUUUCUCAGAAGAGGAGAAGCCAAGCUGUCUAUGUGAUGCCAUCUGCAGCAUAAGCCCUUCACCAUUUUCUUGGCGUCCUAGCCUCCAAAACAAUGAGCUAAGUAAGCUUGAACUCUUUGCAAAUGACCAAGACUAUGGUAUUCAGUUACGGCAUCAGGAACCAGACUAAAUACAGUUUAAAAUUCCUUUCUUUUGACAAGCUACCAACUGCAUAAUGAGGGAAAGUGUAACAAAGAGUGUUGCUGGCCUUCAGAAAGACCCUGCAUGAAGUCUUCUCAUAGCUAUUUCAUAGUGUUUAUCAAAUGCUUUCUUAGGACCAUCCGUGGUGCUAUGCAGGUACAAAGAAGGUAUGCCCUGGUUCCUGUAGUUUAGAUUUAGCCCUAGAUCUAUGGACAGAUCACAUCAACACAUGGCCAGGGAGAGAAUGUGAUGAUGCAGACCUGUUAGGAACACAGCACAUGGAAAGAACUGUGGGAAGCUUUCCAGAGGACUC